GAUGAAGAACGUAGCAAAAUGCGAUACUUGGUGUGAAUUGCAGAAUCCCGUGAACCAUCGAGUCUUUGAACGCAAGUUGCGCCCGAAGCCAUUAGGCCGAGGGCACGCCUGCCUGGGCGUCACACGUCGUUGCCCCCCAUCUACUCCUUCGGGAUUGCGGGGGGCGGAUGAUGGCCUCCCGUGCGCCUCGUCGCGCGGUUGGCAUAAAUGCCAAGUCCUCGGCGACGCACGCCACGACAAUCGGUGGUUGCGAAACCUCGGUUGCCCGUCGUGUGCGGUCGUCGCGCAUCGAGGGCUCGAAAAAAUUGCCGGGCUCCGGCUCGGCUUUCAACGCGACCCCAGGUCAGGCGGGGUUACCCGCUGAAUUUAAGCAUAUCAAUAAGCGGAGGA
rnacentral:misc_RNA from 1 species